GUUUAUACCAAUAUACCACAAUCUGUACAAUCAGCAGGUACCCUGGAGUCUUACUACAGUGAUCAUAAGCCUAUUUAUAUUUCCAUGAAAGCUGUUUGAAUAUUUGGUAAAAAAAUUUCACCAUGUGCAUCAUAUGAGAUCAUUAUAAUUAUAUUUAAUUUAGCUGAAUAUGUAACUUUACAUACCAAAUAAAUAUCUAAGUGUAUCAAGCAACUAUUUGAAUCACAUAUAGAAAACAGUCACAACAUUUAUUGGCAGAAAUAAAGAAUGGUUUUGAUUUCCUGUGCUUUUCAUGUUCUUAAAUUCCUAGUCCUUAUAGAGAUUCAAAAUUACAUGUAACUCUACCAGAAUUUGCAGAUUCUGUACAUAAGAAUAAAUUUUUCAGGUCAAAGAGAUAAUUUAGCUCCAAUGUUUCUUAAGGAAAGCAUACCAUUUAUGACUGGCUUUUCCUUUCUUAAAGCCUUUCCAGAAAAGCAAGAAAUAUCACUUGGACACCACAUUUAGGUGAAGCAAGUUGUACUAUUGUGCAAAUCCAUAUAACCCAGAUGAACACUGCAAUAACAACUACAGUAUAAUAUGCAAGUGACAGUAAGCAGAUGUUAAUAUUAACAACACCAUUACUGAUGUUAUACAUGCCCGUUUACCAGCUGCAAAAAAUAAUAUCGAAAGACUUCGUAGAAACUGGCUUUAACAAGACAAACUUGUCACCCUUAAGACUUCAUGGAAUUAAUCUGAGAAUUACAGAUGGAUGUAAAAUACUCCUGCUUACAAAGAGAGUUGCUUUCAACACUUGUGUUAGCUGCCACUUGAGCUGUUGAAACUCAUUCUUUGCAAAAGACAUUGGUUACAAGCAUAUAAAAUGGCUCUCCAACCUGCACUUAUAAUUACACAGUUGGGAACACUUUGGAACUUUAUCCUCGUAUGUUGCUUAAAGUGAAGAAUGUCAACAAGUGAAAUCCACCUGAACUCACUACAUGUGUCAAAACUUAACUCACAAAUGAACCUAUAGCUUUACAGUGGAAUACAGAAAUACAACUUCAACUUAAAAUUAGCAGCUCCAUAUAACAUUCAUAUACAUGAAAAUGUACAUGUAGAGUAACAUCAGUCCUUCAUAUAUGGACUGCAAUUAAAUGAAACUACCGGUACUAGACCCCAUCAUAAAGAAACACAAAAAUAGAAUGUAUUAACCUGUCUCUAUUAAUUAAAUAGAAAUCUUGCAGUGUUUAUUUCAAGUAUAAGCUAUCCUAACUUUUCCAGCUUAUACCUGUUGAAUUUUCAUUCAAUUCUUAAAAUGGUUGUCUUGCUGUACUUCUACUACAUGUGUGUCCUGCUGCGGUAAAGAUUAUGUUAUUUAUAACUCAGCAAAAAAUUGAUAACGUGCAUGUAUAGGAGACUGUUGGCUAAAAUGUUUCCUCUUAGCUUUUAUGUGCUACGUUAUGGUAGUCAGUAUUUCAGUGCGUUACUAAGAAAGAAAAUGUUCCUAAUAAAAGGAGUGUUCUUCUUGA